AUCGCUCAACGGAUAAAAGGUACUCCGGGGAUAACAGGCUGAUACCGCCCAAGAGUUCAUAUCGACGGCGGUGUUUGGCACCUCGAUGUCGGCUCAUCACAUCCUGGGGCUGAAGUAGGUCCCAAGGGUAUGGCUGUUCGCCAUUUAAAGUGGUACGCGAGCUGGGUUUAGAACGUCGUGAGACAGUUCGGUCCCUAUCUGCCGUGGGCGCUGGAGAAUUGAGGGGGGCUGCUCCUAGUACGAGAGGACCGGAGUGGACGCAUCACUGGUGUUCGGGUUGUCAUGCCAAUGGCAYUGCCCGGUAGCUAAAUGCGGAAGAGAUAAGUGCUGAAAGCAUCUAAGCACGAAACUUGCCCCGAGAUGAGUUCUCCCUGAGACCUUGAGUCUCCUGAAGGAACGUUAAAGACGAUGACGUUGAUAGGUCGGGUGUGUAAGCGCAGCGAUGCGUUGAGCUAACCGAUACUAAUGAACCGUGAGGCUUAACCUU
rnacentral:rRNA from 1 species